ensembl:misc_RNA 7SK 7SK RNA
AGAUGUGAGGGCAAUUUGGCUGCAACACCUGUCACUAAAUUGAUCUCCAGGGUUGAUCUGGCUGAUAUGGCUGGCUAGGCAGGUGUCCCCUUCCUCCCUCACCACUCUAUGUGCGUCCCUCCCCAAACUACUGAAAAGGACCUCCUUCCCCAAAUAGAGACAGACAGUUCUUGGGUCCAGGGUAUUUGAGUAGGUGCGCUCCCCUGCUAGAACCUCCAAACAAGCUCUCAAGAAAGAUGAUGACUAGGGCAUUGUGGGAAUUACCCCUAGAGGACCCU